rnacentral:rRNA from 1 species
GGAACUAGGCAAAUUGACCCUGUAACUUCGGAAUAAAGGGUCCCUCCUCGCAAGAGAGGGCGCAGAGAAUAGGUCCAGGCAACUGUUUAACAAAAACACAGGGCUGUGCAAAUAUGAAAGUAGAAGUAUACAGCCUGACACCUGCCCGGUGCUGGAAGGUUAAGAGGAGAUGUCAUCGAUGAGAGAAGCAUUGAAUUGAAGCCCCAGUAAACGGCGGCCGUAACUAUAACGGUC